GACGAACGCUGGCGGCGUGCCUAAUACAUGCAAGUCGAACGCUGAAGGAAGGAGCUUGCUCUUUCUGGAUGAGUUGCGCACGGGUGAGUAACGCGUAGGUAACCUGCCUGGUAGCGGGGGAUAACUAUUGGAAACGAUAGCUAAUACCGCAUAAAAUUGAUUAUUGCAUGAUAGUCAAUUAAAAGGUGCAACUGCACCACUACCAGAUGGACCUGCGUUGUAUUAGCUAGUUGGUGGGGUAACGGCUCACCAAGGCGACGAUACAUAGCCGACCUGAGAGGGUGAUCGGCCACACUGGGACUGAGACACGGCCCAGACUCCUACGGGAGGCAGCAGUAGGGAAUCUUCGGCAAUGGACGGAAGUCUGACCGAGCAACGCCGCGUGAGUGAAGAAGGUUUUCGGAUCGUAAAGCUCUGUUGUAAGAGAAGAACGAGUGUGAGAGUGGAAAGUUCACACUGUGACGGUAGCUUACCAGAAAGGGACGGCUAACUACGUG
rnacentral:rRNA from 1 species